AAGUCGUAACAAGGUUUCCGUAGGUGAACCUGCGGAAGGAUCAUUACUGGGUCACCGAGCGCCCCGGCGCUCACCCCCACCCUUCUGUCUACAGACCAGCUUCGGCUCGAGGCUGGCCCCCUUCGCCGGGGGCCCGCCGGCCGAAAAUCCAACCCUGAAAAACAUUGCAGCCUGAAGUAACAAGCAAAUAGUUAAAACUUUCAACAACGGAUCUCUUGGUUCUG
rnacentral:misc_RNA from 1 species